rnacentral:rRNA from 1 species
GCAGUAGCCGCGGUAAUACAGAGGGUGCGAGCGUUAAUCGGAUUUACUGGGCGUAAAGCGUGCGUAGGCGGCUUUUUAAGUCGGAUGUGAAAUCCCUGAGCUUAACUUAGGAAUUGCAUUCGAUACUGGGAAGCUAGAGUAUGGGAGAGGAUGGUAGAAUUCCAGGUGUAGCGGUGAAAUGCGUAGAGAUCUGGAGGAAUACCGAUGGCGAAGGCAGCCAUCUGGCCUAAUACUGACGCUGAGGUACGAAAGCAUGGGGAGCAAACAGGAUUAGAUACCCCAGUAGUCCCUGUCUCUUAUAC